rnacentral:sRNA from 1 species
UGAGGUCCCAACCACAUCUGGACGUGCCUGGAACUUUGGCAGAGGAAGCUGGCUGGAAAUCUGUUUGAGAGAUGAAAAAAGGGCCCCUCUGGGAGGUUAUUCUCACACUAAAAACAAAACAAGUUGGGCUGGGAAACAAAGCCUUAGUUGACAGGAGUUGGAUGAUCCGAGGCCCACAGAGCCUUGCUUUGUGGACUUUCCUGCUGAGUGACACUAAAGGGACCGCAGGCUACCAUCCGGCUUGGUAGUUCCCAGGAAAAAGAAGGUGGACUGUUCAGUGGCCACAGUGACUCCCCCAAGGCAGGCAUGUUCUGCCCUCUGAAGCAGGCUGCAACACUUCUGGGAGAUGCUCCCAAAUGGACUCCUGCCUUUCACUGGUGACAGGUUUCUAUCCAGUCUAAAAUAUUUAUGUGGCUCAGUAUCUGGAAUCCUCCUAGACGGUGGAAGAGCAGAGCAGCUCGGAAUCCUUGCACAGCCCCAUAGAGUGGAGCUAUCUUACCAAACGUUCCGUCCUCAACUGAAACACAAGUGACUCUGGUCUGGGAUAUGGGACUGCUUCAGACCGUCCACAGCAUCUGGUUAUGAUCGAGCUCAUCCCCUAGCAGGGUGCUAAAUGGACUUGAACAUCCAGAAACCUCUGAGAAACGCUUCUUCAGCUGUCCAGAAGAAAGGUCUAGCCCCAGGAUCUCUCCCUUCAGGGCAGCUUUGAUGGUUUGGUAGACUAUUAGCAAUGGUCCAAGGUGAUUUUUACCUCACUUUUCUUACUUGUAACUUUGUAUAUUCUAUGUAACCCAGAAUCAUGCUGUAAGCUAUGCUCUGCAGUGUAUCUAUGAUGGAAGAGAUCAUUUAAGGCUAGUCAGCCCCCUCCAACCCAACCUACAGCAGCCUGAUCUUCAUAAGGAAAACAACAAAAUUAAACAUAUACAAGACAUAAGUCCAGUUGUUUUCAGGUUCAACAAAUAUGAUGAGAUACUUGUCUUUCUAUGGAUUGCUAAGACACUACCCAUUUUAGAAGGAACCAUUGCUGCCUCUAACAGUCAGAGAGCAUGUGGCCAAUGUUUAGGAGCACGUCUCAGGAUUUUUACACGGUCAGCUGACCAUUUGAAUGGCAGUUUGGUUAUUUGUAACUAUUGGUCUGUUUGGGCCUGUUUCCUUCUCUCACGUCUUAGGUUCUCUUUUCUCCCACUACCAUUCUGAUAUGUAUGGCCUUAAUUUGGUAUCAUUAUGGAUAUAUAUUUUUUUCUUACUUUGGUUAUUGCUUUUUAUUGAGAGAUUCUCCAAACUUCUUACUGACCCACCCUUCAGGUAUCACACACAGCACUUCUGAGGCUGUUUCUCUUGCCGGGGUAGUACUCAUCCAAUAUGCAUUUAAAUGUUGGGUCUUCUUGUCCCACACAAUGGCACACAUGUCAUCUUCACACUCGGGAAAUGGAGCCAGGAGGGUUAUAAGUUUGGUACCACUCAGUGCAACAAAGAGAGCACAUCUCUCAAAGUUGAGGGAGGGAUGAAGAAAGAAAGGGACAGGGGAGUUGGGCGGGGAAGAGACUUCAUCAAGGAGAACACUGAUGUCCAUUGAAUCCUAGCUAUUUGGGGUUCAGAUCUUUCUGGAAGCUUCUAGAUUGUUCUUUGACUCUGUGUGGGCCAGAGGCAGAGGACAACUUCAACUAUCGUUCCUUGGACAGAGAAUGGCAGCAGCAGGCUGUGUGGCCCAUAAAGCAGCUGUGUCAUUUUGUCCUGCACUGUCAGGGAAGGAUCAAGGAUGGAGACCGAGUCAUUCUAAGUUUGCUCCAAUUCGAAAACUAUGUCCAGCACCCCAGGAUCUGCCCUUGGCCUCCUCCCCAACCCAGCACCUACCAAAUGGGGCCUGGCUUCAGAGUGUCAGUGCUUGGCCUCCUGUGUGGAUGCUAUUUAUAAAGGGGUUAAAAAUCCCACUCUAACCUGUCCCUAAAUCCAUCAGGACCAAUUCCUCUCUGACACCUUAGAGACCUGCCCCUCUGUUCCCUCCCAAGAGUACAUCUCUUGCUGGUUCAGGUUAAUUCCCUCCACCCCAGCUUUCAAUUUCAUAAGUGCUGACAAGAACUCCAUACUAGUCAAUUUCUCCAUUGGGUGGUGCUAUUACGGUUUUAAUGUCAAUUUACCACAAAUUAGAUUCACCUGAGUAGGGAGUCUCACCUGAAGAACUAUUCCCAUUGCACUAAUGGAAUCUUCUGGACAGGUCCAGCCUUUUGAAGAAGGGGGCAUGAAAGAUUAAAAAGGAAGGUUGCUGGCCUCUCUUGCUGGCUGGCCAGCCUUCCUCGGAGCUGCUGCUGCUGCUGCCUCCUCACUGGUAUCAGAACCAGCAUUGCCAAGCUCGCACCACAGGCUAAGCACCAGCAUCCUUCCAGGAAGCUUCAGGUUUAUGUCACUAGAUUAGGACUGCUGAGGUGCCAGACCUUGUGGACAGCGACGACUGGGUUGUUGGCCUCUCCAGUGAGACAGAGCCACUGCAGGACUCUACUGAGACACCCCAUCUCAGGACAGAGCAACUACCUGGUUCUCAGACUCUUAGGUGUGAUCCAGCUGUUGUUACUUACUGUAAGCUGACUUAAUAAAUUCAUAGUUUAUGUAUGCAUAUUGACUUAUAUAUAAUAAAUUCAUGUAUAUGUAUUGUGUAUGUAUAUAUAUAUAUUUUUCAAUCUCA